UUAGAUCAGAAGCGAGAAUGUUGACAUGAGUAGCGACAAAGAGGGUGAGAGACCCUCUCGCCGAAAGUCCAAGGGUUCCUGCUUAAAGCUAAUCUGAGCAGGGUAAGCCGGCCCCUAAGGCGAGGCCGAAAGGCGUAGUCGAUGGGAACACGGUUAAUAUUCCGUGGCCAGGAGGAUGUGACGGAUCUCGAAGAUUGUUCGCCCUUAUCGGAUUGGGCGGGCCGUUUAGAGGUUCCAGGAAAUAGCCCUCCAUCAGACCGUACCCUAAACCGACACAGGUGGACAGGUAGAGUAUACCAAGGCGCUUGAGAGAACCACGUUUAAGGAACUCGGCAAAAUGCUCCCGUAAGUUCGCGAGAAGGGAGCCCCGUCUGUAGGCAACUAUGGGCGGGGGGCACAAUCCAGGGGGUGGCGACUGUUUACUUAAAACACAGGGCUGUGCGAAGUCGUAAGACGACGUAUACAGUCUGACGCCUGCCCGGUGCCGGAAGGUUAAAAGGAGGGGUGCAAGCUCUGAAUUGAAGCCCCGGUAAACGGCGGCCGUAACUAUAACGGUCCUAAGGUAGCGAAAUUCCUUGUCGGGUAAGUUCCGACCUGCACGAAUGGCGUAACGAUCUCCCCGCUGUCUCAAACGUGGACUCAGCGAAAUUGAACUGUGUGUCAAGAUGCACACUACCCGCGGUUAGACGGAAAGACCCCAUGAACCUUUACUCUAGCUUUGCAUUGGCAUCAGGAAUGUGAUGUGCAGGAUAGGUGGUAGGCAUUGAAGCAGGGACGCUAGUCUCUGUGGAGCCGUCCUUGAGAUACCACCCUUCGCCUUCUUGAUGUCUAACCGCGGUCCGUUAUCCGGAUCCGGGACCCUGCAUGGUGGGGAGUUUGACUGGGGCGGUCGCCUCCCAAAUCGUAACGGAGGCGCGCGAAGGUUGGCUCAGACCGGUCGGAAAUCGGUCGUUGAGUGCAAUGGCAGAAGCCAGCCUGACUGCGAGACUGACAAGUCGAGCAGAGACGAAAGUCGGCCAUAGUGAUCCGGUGGUCCCAAGUGGGAGGGCCAUCGCUCAACGGGUAAAAGGUACUCUGGGGAUAACAGGCUGAUGAUGCCCAAGCGUCCAUAGCGACGGCAUCGUUUGGCACCUCGAUGUCGGCUCAUCUCAUCCUGGGGCUGGAGCAGGUCCCAAGGGUACGGCUGUUCGCCGUUUAAAGAGGUACGUGAGCUGGGUUUAGAAUGUCGUGAGACAGUUCGGUCCCUAUCUGCCGUGGGUGCAGGAGGCUUGAGAAGAGUUGACCCUAGUACGAGAGGACCGGGUUGAACGAUCCACUGGUGGACCUGUUAUCGUGCCAACGGUAGUGCAGGGUAGCUAUGAUCGGACAGGAUAAACGCUGAAGGCAUCUAAGCGUGAAGCCCCCUUCAAAACAAGGCCUCCCUUGAGAGCCGUGGAAGACCACCACGUCGAUAGGCCGGAGAUGUAAGCACAGCAAUGUGUUCAGUUGACCGGUACUAAUUGCCC
rnacentral:rRNA from 1 species